GAUGAACGCUGGCGGCGUGCCUAAUACAUGCAAGUCGAGCGAACAGACGAGGAGCUUGCUCCUCUGACGUUAGCGGCGGACGGGUGAGUAACACGUGGAUAACCUACCUAUAAGACUGGGAUAACUUCGGGAAACCGGAGCUAAUACCGGAUAAUAUAUUGAACCGCAUGGUUCAAUGGUGAAAGACGGUUUUGCUGUCACUUAUAGAUGGAUCCGCGCCGCAUUAGCUAGUUGGUAAGGUAACGGCUUACCAAGGCAACGAUGCGUAGCCGACCUGAGAGGGUGAUCGGCCACACUGGAACUGAGACACGGUCCAGACUCCUACGGGAGGCAGCAGUAGGGAAUCUUCCGCAAUGGGCGAAAGCCUGACGGAGCAACGCCGCGUGAGUGAUGAAGGUCUUCGGAUCGUAAAACUCUGUUAUUAGGGAAGAACAAAGGUGUAAGUAACUAUGCACGUCUUGACGGUACCUAAUCAGAAAGCCACGGCUAACUACGUG
rnacentral:rRNA from 1 species